GUCAACGGCCGCACCACGUUGAAAGCACCACCGGUUCUCGUCCGAUCACCGAAGUUAAGCAGCGUCGGGCGUUGUUAGUACUUAGUUGGGAGACCGCUUGGGAACACUGCAUGCUGUUGACU
rnacentral:rRNA from 1 species